UACGGAGGGGGCGAGCGUUGUCUGAAGUUACUGGGCGUAAAGCGCGCGUAGGCGGGUUGGUAAGUCCGCUGUGAAAGCCCGGAGCUUAACUCCGGAGGGUCGGUGGAUACUGCCAGUCUUGAAGGUGCUAGGGGGAGAUGGAAUUACCGGUGUAGCGGUGAAAUGCGUAGAUAUCAAGAGGAACACCUGAGGUGAAGACGGGUUGCUGGGCCGACACUGACGCUGAGUGCGCGAAAGCCAGGGGAGCAAACGGG
rnacentral:rRNA from 1 species